GCCUGGGUGGCUCAGUCGGUUGAGCGUCCGACUUCGGCUCAGGUCAUGAUCUCGCGGUCUGUGAGUUCGAGCCCCACAUUGGGCG
rnacentral:tRNA from 1 species